UUCAGUCAAAUUUAUCCCAUUGUUGCACGAAAACAGUUUUUUAGGGGAAGGCAAGGGUCCACUAUGGAUCCUGCAUUAUCUAAAGCAGAGUUGGGAGAGACAAAAUAUCCAAAGCGAGGCAAGUCAUAUGAUCUUAACCACACUUCUGACGGUCAGACUGCUCAAGUCUCGAGUCAAAAAGCAGAGAUAGAGAAAACAUGGAAUAAAUUUGUCGAGUCGUCCACUCUUCAUGGUUUGCUUCACGUCUUCUCCAGCUCAACCAGAACGCGUCGCUUUCUAUGGGCUGUGCUUCUCUUGCUAGCAAUGAUGUGGUUUUCAUUUCAGUCCUUCAAGUUGCUUGAGAAGUAUUACAGCUACCAGGUCACGACAAAAGUCAGUUUGAAAUACGACCCUAUGCCGACUUUUCCAGCGGUGACUAUCUGCAACUUCAACGUGUUCAAAAGGUCUGUGGUUAGAACGUCAGCGUAUGAAGAAAUUUUGCCCCUACUUCAUGCAUCCUUUGUUGAAAAAAUGGGCUUGCCCGAUUUCAAUGAUAGCAUUGACUUAAACAAAUAUCAUGACUUGAACCUCACACAGUUUUACAUCGAUGCGGGACACCAAAGCUAUGAUACUGUUGGAUAUUGCAUUUGGAACGGAAAACCGACCUGCGAUCACAGGAAUUUCACGUCCGUGUUGACAUCAAUGGGACUUUGCCACACUUUCAACUCAGGAAGAGAUGGUCAACGUCUACUGCGAGUAAGGCAGGCAGGUUCCAAUCGUGGAUUACACUUGAUAUUGAACGUUAAACAAGAGGAAUAUUACGGGACGACAUCGUAUGUUGCCGGCCUCAAAGUUCUCAUUCAUGAUCAGCAGACUCUGCCACUGGUCUCUCAGCUUGGCUUUGCUGUGAGUCCUGGUACGAGUACGUUUGCGGCGUUAAAAAAACUACGGACACUCAAUCUUCCAAAACCUUAUGAGGGAAACUGCCAUGACAAAGAGAUUACUAGCAUACCUGGCUAUAACAAGUACACGAUUCCUUCUUGCCAAGAGAUUUGUGUGACCAACUUUGUAAUAAACAAGUGUGGAUGCAGGGACGCUUUGAUGCCGGGUCUUUUAGAUGACAGGUAUUCAUGAGUAACUCAUGACGGUAAAAUAAAGAAAUGCAUUUGUACCAAAAUGAACAACACCAGAGUGUGUGGAUUGAGUGAAAUCAAGAACUGCCUUGUGAAAGAGAUGAGCAACUUUUAUAGUAGAAUAGAU
rnacentral:misc_RNA from 1 species